CUAACUUUUCUCCCAUGACAAAAAUAAAGUGGUUGUGCUGAAAGACUGUAGUGUCUGUUGUGAGCAGAAGGGGUCAUUUAAGAUCAAAAGAGAAUCAAGGUGCGUGUGUGUGAACCAGGUGACUCAGGUGUACAGAUACCUGUCAUCGGCUCCUCUAUGUAGUAAAGAGCAGAGAAAGCAAUGGAGUUUACAGUCUAAGGGACUAAGCCACAUGACAACUCAAAGAUCGUAAGGCCAGAAGGGACCUCAGAAGAUCGCCGGGUGCAGCCCCCUGCACCAAGCAGGAAAGAUAACUGGGGGUCAGGAGACCCCAGCAAGCAUUGGAAUGAGAAAUGGUGGUCAUCUACAACCAAACUGAUUGCCGGGCUUCACCAGACCAGGCUGAAAACCAAACCUACAAGAACUCUCAUGGGACCGUGCCCCUUCGGGAUGCUAAAAUAAAGGUCAACCCAAAAAGUUUGGCAGUACUUUAGAUACAAGUGGCUAAAGAGCACUGGGCACUUUCUUUUCCCUCUGCAACUUCCUUGAACAACUUUGGCACCACUGCAAUAUUUUAUGACUCCAUGCCACUUUGGCUGAGUGUUUGUAACUUUUUUUUCUUGCUUUAAUUCUGAAAAAUCAAAAGACCAGUCUUUGUUUCACUGAACAUUUCAAAACUGUUUUUUCCUCCUACCCUGCAUAUGAAAGUAAUUCCUGCACCUGCCCCCCCUCCCCAAUUUUUAAUUUGCAAACAAACCAAACUCCCCACCCCCACCUUUUUACCCUGAUUUUCUGUGAAAAAUUCUGUUUUUUGCAAAAUUAGCCUUAGGAGUCUUUCUCCAGAAACAUAUUCCCAUCUGCUCUGCUUAUGUUUGCUCUAUAACCAAGGAACAAAAUUAACUGCAGCUGGAACGUGGACUCCAGUUACUCACACUUUAAACUUUUAAACUGGUAUAAGUAUCUGUUUUUAGGAGACAACUGGAAAAAAAAAUGUCUAUAUGCUCAUCGCACUUGGAUUGUAAGCUUUUUGCU